CCUACGGGUGGCUGCAGUGGGGAAUAUUGGACAAUGGGCGAAAGCCUGAUCCAGCCAUGCCGCGUGUGUGAAGAAGGCCUUCGGGUUGUAAAGCACUUUCAGUGGGGAAGAAAGCCUUGGGGCUAAUACCCUCGAGGAAGGACAUCACCCACAGAAGAAGCACCGGCUAACUCCGUGCCAGCAGCCGCGGUAAUACGGAGGGUGCGAGCGUUAAUCGGAAUUACUGGGCGUAAAGCGCGCGUAGGCGGUCUGAUAAGCCGGUUGUGAAAGCCCCGGGCUCAACCUGGGAACGGCAUCCGGAACUGUCAGGCUAGAGUGCAGGAGAGGUAGGUAGAAUUCCCGGUGUAGCGGUGAAAUGCGUAGAGAUCGGGAGGAAUACCAGUGGCGAAGGCGGCCUACUGGACUGACACUGACGCUGAGGUGCGAAAGCGUGGGUAGCAAACAGGAUUAGAUACCCGAGUAGUC
rnacentral:rRNA from 1 species